rnacentral:rRNA from 1 species
CCCUUAGAUGUUCUGGGCCGCACGCGCGCUACACUGAUCAGUGCAACAAGCAUCCGUCCUUGGCCGACAGGCCCGGGCAAUCUUUGAACGCUGAUCGUGAUGGGGAUAGACUUUUGCAAUUUUUGGUCUUCAACGAGGAAUUCCUAGUAAACGCAAGUCAUCAACUUGCAUUGAUUACGUCCCUGCCCUUUGUACACACCGCCCGUCGCACCUACCGAUUGAAUGGUCCGGUGAAAUCUCGGGACGGCGGCUUGGUCGCUUGCGUCCGACUGCUGAAACUUGAUUAAACCAUAUCAUUUAGAGGAAGGUGAAGUCGUANCA